GCGCGGUGGCCGCCGGGAGCUCCGCUGUGGUGGAGCCUUGCGGUGCUGCGCGGGAGCGUGUAAGAGCUCCCCUCCGAGCCGUCGGCCGCCAUGAGGAGGGCCGCGCCGCCGCCGUCCUUCAGCAGCUCGGAGGGCGAAGAGCCGCUCAGCCCUUCCAGCUGCUCCUUCCUCUCUUCCCGGCGCGGCUUCCGCGAGGAAGAGGAGGAGGAGGAGGAGGAGGAGAGGCCCGGUUCGCUCUCGAAUACGGCCUCCCGUUGGGGAGUGAGCAGGAAGGAUGAUGACUCUGAAAUAACAGAAGCAAAUGAGCGCUCGCCUUUGAAAGAUCAUCUUUCACCAUGGGAAGAAUGGUUCAUUGGAAAAGAGAAGGAACUACGUGCCCACUUACAAGCUAGAGCUGCAGAGGAGAUGAAUAUACAACUUGAGAAAAUGAAGGAAAAGGAAGAAUUUGAGAGAAGGAAAAGGACAGCUGAAAAGAAGCUCAGAGAAUGGAUGGAAAAAAAAAGAGAAGAGGAAAAGAGGGAAAGAGAACGAAAACUGAGCAAAGAAAUGGCAGAGAAAGCCACAAAGGAACUAGAAAAAAUGCAGUUACAAGAAAAGGCCGAAGUGAAGUAUAAUGAAUGGUUAAAGAAGAAGAGAGCUGAAGAGUCAGAAAAGAGGAAGAAAGAGAAGGAAAAAGAAAAAGAAAGGCAGGCUGAGCUGCAAAAGAAGAAAGAGAGAGCAGAGAAGAUCUUUAAUGAAUGGCUACGUAAUGCUAGAAAUAAACCACGCCCUGUAUUAAAUGGUUAUGGCUUUCCACAUGGGAAGUCUGCAGGGCGUCCUGUUGGGAGUUCAUAUCCAGCUCCAGCAUAUUGCAACCCCAUUCCUUGGAAACCAGUACACAUUCCUCCUCCAAAGGAAGAAGGUGCUCUUACCAUGAAGAACAUCUCUAAGCGAAACAAAGACUCCUCAUGCAGCUAUCAAGAAAGGCAGCAAGAUCUCAGAAGGUGGUAUUAUUUUUUCUCCGCCCAUUUUUCUCUGGAAAGGUUUGUCCUGCCUUCAAAUAAAACAUGCUGUUUCAUUCAGGAGAGAGAUCUGGCUGGGUUUGCUGGAAGAAGCCAGAUGAUGGUUACAUGGUAAUGCAGUUUGCAUCACAGAAGUCCUAUCAUACUGGAAAAUACAGUCAUGGAGACAUUUGGCAGACCACAGAAAUGCGAUUGAGGCAGACUUCAGGAGCCAACUAAAGAAGUGGAAGGCUUCUAUUAAGCUGGUACUCCUGCAGAACUCAGCUUCUGAAAUGGACUGUUUGAAAGGCUGAAAGUGGAUACUCUUUUGUGAGAGUGGCAUUGUGCCAGCCCUCCAACUCUGCACGUUCGUGAGAUGGAGCUCCUGAACCAGAGAUGACAACUGAUUGACUAGUGGCAUCCUUUUUGGACCCACUCACCAGCCAGUAACGCCAGAAAGCUGUCUGAAUACCUGUUUCUUGCUUGCUGUGGAGAUGUGAUGAAGAUGCACUCCACCUCAGCUCUCUGAGAUUAGGCCCCUUUACAAGCUGAUGGUGGAUCACUGUGUCAAACUGCAUUACUUGAGCACACUGAUCUUGUGAGGAAGCCAGGACAUCAUCCUGGAGGCUGCAGCUUGUGGUCUGUGAGACCCUGAGAUUUUGGACCUCCUCCUGGGGCCCCUUCUCUCCUAAGGAGCAUAAGCCCAGCAGCUCUGCAGGGGAAAUCAAGCAUUGGAAAACCAUCAGUUGGACUCCUCUGGUGUUGCAGUUGAAGAUGUGGACUGGUUGCAAAGAAUCCAACGAGAAGCAUGGAGUAUAGUAAGAGGUCUCAAAUAUGACCAAAGAGCUGCAGUGUGUGGCCUUGACACAGCCACUCCUGCCUCUCCAGGAGAGGGAGAGGGGCAUCUGCCAGCACCUCCAAAGGGCUGCCACGUCAACCUGCCUGUGAGGCCUCUGGAGCCCAACUGAAGGACUGCUGGGCUGUGAGCAAGCUCUUCAGUGCUUUCUAUGAAGAUCUCUUGAUGUUAAGACUGGAAAAGUGACUGCAAAAUCUCCACAAGAUGAUUCAAGCCUUGAAGCCAAGGUCACAGUCUCAUCCUGGAGCAUCACUGGAAAGCUGCACUUAAAAGAGAGGUCCUGGAGAUCCAGGUCUCAUUCCUUUAGCCUCAGUUCUCAUGAAUGAAAUGUCUGUUCAACUUACCACUAAAAAUUUGAUAUUAUGCAGGAUGGAGAUUUAAAAAAAAACUCUCUUUCCAUUUUUUUAAUUUGAAUUCAUUCAAAUCAGCAUUUUCAAAAUGUUUUGAAUUUUCAGGGCAACAUGUUCUGCUUUCCCUAAGAAACUCUUAUUUGUUGAAUAUCAUGAUAUUUAUGAAGGAUCUCACUCACUCAAAACUUGCUGUUUAAAUCCUUCUUUUGAAUGUUUUUUCCUCUAUACAGCUGGGCAUGCAAACUAGAUGAGGUCAAACGUUUGAGUUUGCUUCGAUUCUGCUGUCUGGACUUUUGUGGAUGUUUGCCUGAAUCAAACUGUAAGCAAUUCCAAAAAAGCAUCUGACUCUGUGAAGCAUAGUGUGCCUUCAUCUGCUUCUUGACCCACAGUCUGUCAGAAUAUGGCUGCUUUCUCAGUUUUUGUUGGGUGUCUUCCAGCCCUACUGUAUUUUCCAUUUCACCUCCUUUAUUAGUGUGACUAAGCACCUCUUGAGGGUUACUCUGACAUGGUUGGUUUGCUUGAGUUGAUAAUUUCUGGGAGUUAUACAGCUGGACUUGUGCUUUUAAGUUUCCCAUUACCCCAUAAUUUUUUAUUUUUUAUUUUUUUAUUUUUUUGCCUUGGAAUGGCUCAAGGAAAUGCACGCAAACUCAAAUCUGCAUGUGGUUUUACUUGGAAGGCUUAAUGAGAGAUGAUGACCUAUGUGUUUCUAGCCUGUUUCUACAACAAGAAAGUUAUUUUGAAUUCUGUACAGCACUUCUCUCACAUAUUCAAAGAUGAAGAUAUUGAGCAGCUACUUUUUCAGCUAGAAAACAGUGCAUCUGAGCAGUUGCAGAACAUUGUAUUGACAAACUUUCUUCUUCUUGCUCACCACAUUCUCUUUUUACGAAGGAAUGACCUCGGCCCCAAAAGUUAGUCCCAUAUUUCCCUCUGGCCUUUCAAGGCAUGUUACAAAUCAUCCUUUGAUGAUUUGAUGCAGCCUUUAUGAUUUUUGCUAACAAUUAAACUCCACAAAAUUAAUGUGUUGGCUUUUAUGGACAGUAUCCGGGUUGAAGAGCAAGGCAGGCUACAAAGAGAAGGGAAAACCCAAGAGUUGAGGCAGGUGACUGUGGGAAGUAUGGCUCUGCUGCCUCAGCAUGGGCUGGGUGCUUCAGGCAUGACGAGCUUUGAUCCUGGGCUCUCGUGGUUGCCUGGCUUUGCUCACAUGCCGAUGUCAGUAGGAUUACAAGAGACGUUAAAUGGGGUGAGUGUUUGCUGUAUUGCACCUUUGCUCUGUACCCACUGCUGGGGAGCACAUGAACAAUGUGGCUGUGGGCAGCUGGAGUCACUGCUCUGAGUCAUGCCACUCAGUGGACUUGAGUUAGCAUCUCACUAGAAGACAUUUUAGUUGAAAAUAAAAUGAAGUCAAGCACAGGAAUCUAGUGUCUCAUCUCUCCUAUGUGCUAGGACCACCUGCCUCUAACUAAACAUGUCUGUUCCACACAGCUGCAGUUUGUAAUCACGUUUCUUAAGGGCACCUGGUACUGGUGCCCUGGUGCACCGCCUCUUCCUGUCUUCAGCCAGCUCUCAGCACUGCUGCCGGGGAGAUCCGAGCCUUCUGUCUUCGGUAAGAAAUUUCAGUUUCUUUACUGGCAUUGAGGGUGGGAGUUCUAAGUAAUUGCUCAAUGUGUUUCUUAAUUGAUCCGGUUUGUGGUAUACUAUGAAAAUUUGCUGACUUGUUUUGGUUUUCAACCUGCAAAAGACUCUUGGAGAGCUUGCCUGUUCCUGUUAGAGUUGUUGGAGAAAGGUCCUGUCUGUUUAAAGUCAGCAUUAGGUACUUGUUGGCUUCAGUAUUGAAUCAAGGAAGCUCCUUGUGAGGUGUGAGGAGGUUAUCUGCCUGACCUGGGAUCAUGCAGUGGGGGUAGAAAGCAGUGAAUGCUUACGUGACCUUUAUUACAGAAGCAAAUCCUUACACAGCCGUUUCCUUUCUCUGAGCUGUUGCAGAUUGUGGGCAUGCACAGAUCAAAAUGUUGUAGGUGAUGUAAUUCUGUGAUUGCUGAGAGUAUACCUAGCAAGGCUGGUGGAAAGGAGCUGUGGGACAGGUGCUACAGAGCGGCUGAUAAUCAGCUGCGCCAAAGAACUGCACUCAUGUGACACACGUAUCAAAUUUCUUCCACCUUUAAAGUGCAGUUUUGGGUGUAAGAAAAUGUGAGAAACCUGGCUAAAAGCUCUGUGAUGAUCUGUAUUAAUGAUCUCCCUUUUGCACUGCUUUUU